AAGUCGUAACAAGGUAACCGUAGGUGAACCUGCGGUUGGAUCAUUAAAAAAAAAAUUGGUUCUUCCCUUAAAAACGGUUGAACGUCGGUGCUCCUUUAACAAGGAGCUUGACUACUCCAAUUUUUUGUGAACUUGUAAACUGAAAAAAAGAAAAUGUUUUUGAUCUAGUAGUGAAAAAAAUUUGGGUGAUUUAUUGCCCAAGUUUUUUUUUAUUCUCUUGAAGAAAUUAUUUUUUUAUUAACUCUGAAGAAUUAAACCUGUCUUUACCGUUUUUUAUAAAUAAAAUAAUUAAUAAACAACUUUUGACAACGGAUCUCUAGGCUCUC
rnacentral:misc_RNA from 1 species